rnacentral:rRNA from 1 species
CCUACGGGAGGCAGCAGUGAGGAAUAUUGGUCAAUGGACGAGAGUCUGAACCAGCCAAGUAGCGUGAAGGAUGACUGCCCUAUGGGUUGUAAACUUCUUUUAUAUGGGAAUAAAAUGUUCCCCGUGUGGGAUUUUGUAUGUACCAUAUGAAUAAGGAUCGGCUAACUACGUGCCAGCAGCCGCGGUAAUACGGAGGAUCCGAGCGUUAUCCGGAUUUAUUGGGUUUAAAGGGAGCGUAGGUGGAUUGUUAAGUCAGUUGUGAAAGUUUGCGGCUCAACCGUAAAAUUGCAGUUGAAACUGGCAGUCUUGAGUACAGUAGAGGUGGGCGGAAUUCGUGGUGUAGCGGUGAAAUGCUUAGAUAUCACGAAGAACUCCGAUUGCGAAGGCAGUUCACUGGACUGCAACUGACACUGAGGCUCGAAAGUGUGGGUAUCAAACAGGAUUAGAUACCCGAGUAGUC